GUAAAGGUCGGUCCGCCUACUCGGUGUGCACCUGCCCUUCCGUUCCUUUUGUCGGCGGCGUGCUCCUGGCCUUAAUUGGCUGGGUCGCGGCUCCGGCGCUGUUACUUUGAAAAAAUUAGAGUGCUCAAAGCAAGCUUAUGCUCUGAAUACAUUAGCAUGGAAUAACGUGAUAGGAGUUUGGUCCUAUUGUGUUGGCCUUCGGGACCGGAGUAAUGAUUAAUAGGGACUGUCGGGGGCAUUCGUAUUUCAUUGUCAGAGGUGAAAUUCUUGGAUUUAUGAAAGACGGACCCAUGCGAAAGCAUUUGCCAAGGAUGUUUUCAUUAAUCAAGAACGAAAGUUGGGGGCUCGAAGACGAUCAGAUACCGUCCUCGUCUCAACCAUAAACGAUGCCGACCAGGGAUCGGCGGAUGUUGCUCUAAGGACUCCGCCAGCACCUUCUGAGAAAUCAGAGUGUUUGGGUUCCGGGGGGAGUAUGGUCGCAAGGCUGAAACUUAAAGGAAUUGACGGAAGGGCACCACCAGGAGUGGAGCCUGCGGCUUAAUUUGACUCAACACGGGGAGACUUACCAAGUCCAGACAUAGUAAGGAUUGACAGAUUGAGAGCUCUUUCUUGAUUCUAUGGGUGGUGGUGCAUGGCCGUUCUUAGUUGGUGGAGCGAUUUGUCUGGUUAAUUCCGAUAAUGAACGAGACCUCAGCCUGCUAACUAGCUACACGGAGGUUCCCCUUCGCGGCCAGCUUCUUAGAGGGACUAUGGCCGUUUAGGCCAUGGAAGUUUGAGGCAAUAACAGGUCUGUGAUGCCCUUAGAUGUUCUGGGCCGCACACGCACUACACUGAUGCAACAAACGAACUUUUCUUCCUGGUUCGAGAGGAUCGGGAAAUAUUCUCAAAUUGCAUCGUGAUGGGGAUAGACCAUUCCAAUUAUUGGUCUUCAACGAGGAAUUCCUAGUAAGCGUGUGUCAUCAACUCGUGUUGACUACGUCCCUGCCCUUUGUACACAUCGCUCGUCCCUCCUACCGAUUGAAUGAUCUGGUGAGGUGUUCGAAUUGUGUCGACGAUGGUGGUUCGCCGCCAUCGACGUCGUGAGAAGUUCAUUGAACCUUAUCAUUUAGAGGAAGGAGAAGUCGUAACAAGGUUACCGUAGGUGAACUUGCGGUAG
rnacentral:rRNA from 1 species